rnacentral:rRNA from 1 species
AAAAUGACUCUUGGCAACAGAUAUCUCAGCUCUCGCAUCGAUGGAGAACGUAGUGAAAUGCGAUACUUGGUGUGAAUUGCAGAAUCCCGUGAACCAUCAAGUCUUUAAACGGAAGUUACGCCCGACGCUAUUAGGCUGAGGGCACGACUGCCUGGGUGUCUCGC